UACGGGGGGGGCAAGCGUUGUUCGGAAUUACUGGGCGUAAAGGGCUCGUAGGUGGCCAACUAAGUCAUACGUGAAAUCCCUCGGCUUAACCGGGGAACUGCGUCUGAUACUGGAUGGCUUGAGAUUGGGAGAGGGAUGCGGAAUUCCAGGUGUAGCGGUGAAAUGCGUAGAUAUCUGGAGAAACACCGGUGGCGAAGGCGGCAUCCUGGACCAACACUGACACUGAGGAGCGAAAGCCAGGGGAGCAAACGGG
rnacentral:rRNA from 1 species